rnacentral:ncRNA from 14 species
GCGGAUAUAACUUAGGGGUUAAAGUUGCAGAUUGUGGCUCUGAAAACACGGGUUCGAAUCCCGUUAUUCGCC